rnacentral:tRNA from 1 species
GAGGGUGUGGCUCAGUGGUAGAGCGCAUGCCUAGCAUGCAUGAGGUCCUGGGUUCAAUCCUCAGUACCUCUC